UUUAUUUUCUCUCAGGCAUUUGGUCUAGUGCAUGACCAGAGCAAAGCCAGAAGAAGAAGUUUUGGACUUGGAUCCCGAGAUAGAUAGAACUCUGAGAGUAAUCAGGAGAGAAAGGAGACACCAAAAACAAGAUCAAGAAAAUCCAGAAACUCCAAUCAUGGCUAACAACAACAACAACAGGCCAAGACUAUUGAAGGACUACGAAGCUUUAUCUAUACAAGGAUUCUAACUUAGUGUUACAAGACCCACAGUGGAUGCCAAUAAUUUUGAAUUAAAACCGGCAUGGCUCCAUAUGAUCCAACAAACCCAGUUUGGGGGUUCACCAACAGAAGAUCCACAUUAACACCUCCAAUGCUUUCUUAUCCUAUGUGACAUAUUCAAGAUGAAUGGAGUUUCUGAUCAAGCUAUAAGACUCAAAGCAUUUCCAUUCUCCCUUCGAGAUAGAGCAAGGAAGUGGUUACUUUAUCAACCAGCUGAAACAUUUACCACUUGGAAAGACCUCUCAUAAGCUUUUCUAGCAAGGUAAUUUUCACCUGCAAAGACUGCUUGCGAGUUCUUCCAUUAGCAAAAGUGACUGAAACGUUAUAUGGCGGCUUGAAAUCUCCGAUUAGAAAAUUCUGAACCAGGAAGAAUCCGUAGUUUUGCAAAAUUAUCUCAAGAAAUGCAGAAUUAGUAUCUUAGAUAAAUGAAGGAAAACCUUUAC
rnacentral:misc_RNA from 1 species